CACACACACCACAUCAACAUUGAGUUUGUGUAGUUAAUCAGUCAAAGUAUUUAAUACUGGUUAAAAGAAAAAUGGAAAAGUUGGUUAGUGGGACAGUUUAGGACCUCAAGAUCCAAAAGUAAAUUAAUCUAGUAGCAGAGUGUUUGAUUAACCUAAAGACUCUAAGUACUGAGGUAAGAACUUAUCCAACAAAAACUUAUGGGAAAAAUGGAACAUAAAUUAGAUUUCUACCAAUAUUUCACGCCAAAUGAAUGCAUGGCCUAGAUGUGAAAGAUCUAAUAAAAAAAUUCAAGGAUAAUGGAAGGAAAUAAUCAUUGUAUCUUUUAAAGCUAUGUCUAAGGGAAUUCUUGUCCAAAUGGAAUAGAGAAGAUCAUAGUAGUUAAUGUCAAAUAAUUUAAUUUACUUAAAGUUGAAAAAUGUUUGCACAAAGGAAAUCUAAACAGAUAAAAUUAGAAUGGCAGCAGUUAACAGGGCAAGAGAAUUGAUAAAUGGUUAAACAUUACUAGACAUGUACCCUAAAGAAAUCAAGGAAAGAGGAAAAAGACACAUGUACAUAAUAUACUAGCUCAUCAUCAUAGCAAGAAACUAGAAACGAAAGGGAUAUCCACUUACUAAAGAAUAGCUAAAUAAAUUUUGGUAUAUGAAAGUAAUGGAAUAUAAUUUUGCCAAAUAAGUGAUGAAAUGGACAAUUUCAGAAGAAACUAAGAAAUUCUCUGUGAUCUAAUGCAGUGAAGUAAGGAGAAUUAGAAGAACAAGUUUUACAAUGUUGUUGUUGUUUCCUUUAAGUUGUGCCCAAUUAUCCAUGACUCCCUUUGAUAUUUUCUAGGAAAAGAUACUGGAGUUGUCGAUCCUUCUCCAGCUCAUUUUAUAGAUGAGGAAAUGGAGACAAACAUGGUUAAGUGACUUGCCCAGGGUCAUACAACUGUUCUGGAUGCAGAUGAUGGAGCCUUUGACUCAGAGUCUCAACUGGAUGAUGUUAUCAUUCCCACGAGGAAGUCCUGAGAAGCCAGGGUCUCAGGAUGCAUGUCCAAAAGGACUUUGGACUUGGAACUUAGUGGGACUGAUGCCAUAUUAUUACUGAGAACCAACUCAUAGACUGUGCAGGGAGCAGAAGAUUGCAGUUUCGUGGGAUGCUGCCAACUUAUUAGUGGUGUACACUUUCGGUCAGGUGACUAGUGUGAUUCAAGAUCUGUUUGGACUGUGCCUGCUUGGUUAUAGGAAACAGAGGAAGGAGAGUCUUCAGAAGUUUUCUGGGAGAUCUGUGUCAUCUUUUAAGGCUAUUCCUCACCAUCCCUUCCAACUCUGGUUUACACAGCUUCCUCCAAACCCUUUCAUAUCAGUAAAACCAAAUUAUUCUAAACCUGCAAAAUUGCAAGAAUAAGUGUCAUCCACCCCUCUCCUUGCUUCCAAGUUGGAUCACACUUAAUUUAUAACAGUAAAAUAAUAGUGAUUUUAAGAUUUUAAAUUCUAUCACAUCCUCUGGUAACUCAUUCCAGUAGUUAGUGAGCCCAACAAUUUUUUCUGCCUUUAAUCUGAAUCCAGUUCUCUGCAUUUUAAUUCAUUUAAAUUUGUAAUGCUCAUAGAUUUUAAGGGAAAAAAAUGUCAGCAAUAUUAAAGUUGCUGGGGAGGAAAUUCAUUCCUAUUUUUCAUGUUGCUCCAUUAAGGGAUGCCCUUCUCUUUCCUCUCCACCAGUCCAUGGCACUUCUGUCCUUCAAAAUAUUAUUUAAGAUUCCCUUUCUUUAUGAGUCUUUUUGGCAAUGGCUUAUUCCCCCUCCCCUCCAACCCAAUUGAUCAUUUGCCUGAUGAGGAAAUUCGCAUACAGAGUUUACCCUAUAUAAAUUAACUUAAAAAAAUCUUUCUACCUUAGAAUUGAUACAAGCAUCAGUUCUAAGGUAGAAGAUCAGUAAAGGCUAGGCAAUAGGGGUCAAGUGAUUUGCCCAGGGUCACGCAGCUAGUAAGUGUCUGAGGCCAGAUUUGAACCAGGACCUCUUCCCCUUUCUCUAGGCCUGGUGUUUUAUCCACUGAACAACCUAGCUGCCCUUAUAAAUUAAUUUCCAAAAACAUUCAUUUUAGCAAUCAUUUGACAGUAUUUUCCAAAUGAAUAUGAUGCUGCCUCUGGGCUACUCUCCAACCAGUCCUUGCCCUUAAAGGUUGGGUGCCUAGGAGGCAGCUGACACUAAUUUGAUGAGAUAGAACCACUUCACACUUCAUAAAGUCUAACAAGACUUCUUUUUACCUUUAUCCCCCUCCCCCAACAGGUUAACACCUCUAAUCUCUGCUACCUUCUAUGAUUAUAUCAAUGGACCUGGGAGGUGGGGGAGCUACCACCACCCCCAACAUCAAUAUUUCUCAGUAAUAUCAUUAUAUAAUUUUCUUUU